UAAAAAUACCUAUAAGACACAAGUCAUUGUGUCAUUUAUAGCGGUUAGUACGAGGAUUCGAUUAGCGUUUCUCGACAUCAGCAAUUAUGUUGUGCGAUCUGGACAUCGCGAAGUUUCGAUUUCGCGACAGAAUUCGUAUUAUAAACUGGCAAGAUAUUUAAAUGUGGCGAGGACGAAAAAGUUAUAUACAACAAAAAUGAAGAGGAUUUUGUAAUCAAUUAUAAUCAGCAAAUUGAAAAACUAUUUAUUGAUAGCUUAUCCAAAGAAUUUUCCAAUCACAGAAUUAUCGCGGAAGAAACGGUAUUUGCAAUGCAAAAAAUGCCAGAAUUGACAGACGCACCAACAUGGUUCCUCGAUCCAAUUGACGGAACGUCAAUUUUAUGCAUUCGUUGCCUUAUUUCAGCAUAAGCAUAACUUUGGUGAUCCGCAAAGUGCUUGUUUUAGACAUUAUCUACAAUCCAUCGAACUCAGAGUUCUACACUGCGACAAAAGGCAAAGAUACUUUUCUGAAUGGAAAGCCGAUUCACGUCUCUAACAUCACUGAUUUAAAACAAGCAAUGCUAGGGAUUGAUGCGUCAGUUAUAAAAUAUGUGAAAAAGGACAAAGAUAUAUACAGCCAGACUAAUUGCUUUAAUCGAGGCGACGCAGGCUAACAGAAACAUUGGAUCAGCUGCACUGAGCAUGGCAUAUGUAACGCAGGGUGUAAUAGAUGUCUUACAUCUUGGAUGUUCUCCUUAAACCUUGGGAUGUAGCAGCAGAAACGCUGCUUAUACGCGAAGCGGGUGGAAUUGUUAUUGACUCGAAAGGUAGUACUUAUGAUAUUAUGAAGGCAAAUACUAUCGCAGCAAACAAAAGUCUAGCACGAGAGAUAUAUCUAAAAUAAUCAUCGAUACAGAUUUAACGCAAAGAAAAAGAACCUGACACAAGACAAAAAAUAAUUCACGUUAAUUCAUUCAAGAGCUGAGUGAAUAAAACAGGAGAAGGUGUGUUCCGGUAGCGAACGUAUCUAUCACGUAAUACAAGGAAAUUGUCUAUAAAAAUCAGUCUAAAGAAGUUUCUGUUAAAAAGUUCCAUUGACGCACUUACAGAUGUCAUAUCUACGAGAUCAAUUCGAAUAUAUUAACCAAUGUGCAAUAUUGUAAAAUGAGAA